rnacentral:rRNA from 1 species
GAGUUGAAAAACUCCCUAAAACCAUCGCGAAUUUAUCCGUCAGUGUUGCUUCGGCGGGCGGCCCCAGGGCGGGGCCCCAGCCCCCCCUCUCGAGGGAGGGCGCCUGCCGGAGGUACGAAACUCUCCUGUAUUAUAAUGGUAUCUCUGAGUAAACAAAUAAAUAAGUCAAAACUUUCAACAACGGAUCUCUUGGUUCUGGCAUCGAUGAAGAACGCAGCGAAAUGCGAUAAGUAAUGUGAAUUGCAGAAUUCAGUGAAUCAUCGAAUCUUUGAACGCACAUUGCGCCCGCUAGUAUUCUAGCGGGCAUGCCUGUUCGAGCGUCAUUUCAACCCUCAAGCACUGCUUGGUGUUGGGGUCCUACGGCUGCCGUAGGCCCUGAAAUAUAGUGGCGGGCUCGCUACAACUCCGAGCGUAGUAGAAUCCUAUCUCGCUAGGGAGGUGCGGCGUGCCCCGGCCGUUAAAGUACCCAUCUUUAACCCAAAGGUUGACCUCGGAUCAGGUAGGAAUACCCGCUGAACUUAAGCAUAUCAAUA